ensembl:lncRNA
AUGCAGAGUACAUCAUGUGAAACGCUGGGCUGGAUGAAGCACAAUUGGAAUCAAGAUUGCUGGGAGAAAUAUCAAUAAUCUCACAUACACAGAUGACACCACCCUUAUGGCAGAAAAUGAAGAGGGACUAAAGAACCUCUUGAAAGCUGGCAUAACACUCAACAUUCAAAAAAUAAAGAUCAUGGCAUCCAGUCCCAUCACUUCAUGGCAAAUAGAUGGAGCAACAGUGAGAGACUUUAUUUCUUGGGCCAAAAUCACUGCAGAUGGUGACUGCAGCCAUGAAAUUAAAAGACACUUGCUGCUUGGAAGAAAGGCUAUGACCAACCUAGACAGGAUAUUAAAAAGCAGAGACAUUACUUUGCUGACAAACUCCAUAUAGUCAAAGCUAUGUUUUUUUCCAGUAGUCAUGUAUGGAUGUGAAAUUUGGACUAUAAAGAAAGCUGAGUGCCAAAGAAUGGAUGCUUUUGAACUGUGGUGCUGGAGAAGACUCUCGAGAGUCUCUUGGACUGCAAGGAGAUCAAAACAGUCAAUCCUAAAUGAAAUCAGUCCUGAAUAUUCACUCCAGUACUUUGGCUACCUGAUGCUAAGAACUGAGUCAUUUGAAAAGACCCUGAUGCUGGGGAAGAUUGAAGCCAUGAGGAGAAUGAUUGGACUGGCAGGAGAAGAAGGAUUGAGGGCAGACGAUGAAAUGAUUGGAUGGCAUCAACGACUUGAUGCAUAUGAGUUUGAGCAAGCUCUGGGAGUUGGUGAUGGACAAGGAAGCCUGGCGUACUGCAGUCCAUGGGGUCUCAAAGAGUCAGACAUGACUGUGACUGAACUGAACCAACUGAGGUUUUAGGAGGGAAUUGGGGAGGAUUGUUUUGAGUAAAAUUUCACUGGAUAAAACCAAGAGUUCAAAUUUGUGACAUUUUUUGUUGUUGUUGGCUGUAUGUGGUGAUUAGUGCUUUGUUGUUGGGUCUGGGAGAGAUCUUCCUUCCUUUUCAUAAAAAGCAGGAGAUAACAUUUUAACAUUUCUUUGUGAAAAAUGUCCUUCCUUGUCAAGGUAAUUUUUAUCUUCCUUCUUCCUGCUGAUUAUGGAGUUGGAACAAAUGUGGGAGCUCCCCCUUCAGGGCUUCGCAACUCCAUUUAAAACAAGGUUUCCUUUACUUUCCCACAAGUUAGCAGUAUGGGCCACCAACACAUAUCCUUGUUGAUUCCCUCCUGGAAAACAGUGAUUUCUAUCUGAAAUCCUUCUUGAUAACCUGGUAACAAAUGUGGCUUAUAAGAUCCUUAGAAUCUAACUGCCAUGUGAUUCUACCAAGAUCACUUGGUGUGCACUGUACUCCACAUAUGUUAAUAAAAUGUAAGCAGCUAAUCUGCAAAGACUCUGUUUCCAAAUAAGGCUAUAUUCACAGAUACUGGUGAUUAGGACUUCAACACCUUUUUGUGGGGAUACAAUUCAAUUUAGAACAGAAACACAGCACUGCAGUGCUAAAAUCAGAGACAGAUUGCCUAGUUAGUUAAACAGGGUAUCCUUGAAUUGUUUCAGGUAAUUUUAAACAUUAAUUAAUUUUACAGCAUCGGGUCUUAGUUAAAAUAUGUAGGAUCUUUGCUGUGUCAUGCGGGAUCUUUUCUUGUAGGAUGAGGGCUCUCUAGUUGUGACACACGGAUUCCAGAGGAUGUGGUCUCAGUAGCUGCAGCACGGGCUUAGUUGCUUGGCAGUAUAUGGGAUCUUAGUUCCCUGACCAGGCAUCGAACCCGCAUCCCCUGCAUUGCAAGGUCAAUUCAGGACCACUGGAGUAGAAUACCACUGGGCCACCAGGGAAGUCACUUCAGGUAUCUGUUAAGUUAGAAGCAGCACGGAAAUAUUUAGUAAAAGUUUCUUUCUACCUCAACUUUCCUCCUUCAAGAAUCAACUGAUUUCUUCACAUAGUGUAACUAAAAUGAAGUUGAAAUUAAACAUGUCCAAUGCUUUUCCAUCUGCAUAAAUUCCUGAGGAGUGUGUAAAAAAGUACAAAACAAUAGUAUUUCUCAUAUAAUCUAUGAGUCAAGCCUUUAUUAGAGUAUAUUUCUGAUGUAUGUACAUGUUACAACAUACGGAAAUGGGAUAGAGCCCAGCAUAUGAAAUCAAUAAAUUCUUUAAGACAUAUAAAAGCAGAAUGAAAUUGUUAAAUUCAGUUUCAUACUACAACAUUUAUUAAUAUGACAAAAUCUACUUAUUAACUUAUCAUUAUUAUUCAUAAUUUGUUUCUUCCAAAGAUAUUAGAGGCUGCUUAUUAAAAACCUAGUUAAGGUCUCUUAUUUAAGUUUCCAAAAUCUGUUAAAAAGCUCUUCCAAAAAUCAUCUAAAAAUAUGUUUUAAUCAUAUUUUCAGCUUAAAUAAUAUUUUUAAAGUAAAAGUGAUGAUUUUUGCUCAUCAGAAAUGCUAUCUGAAAUUUAUCCCUGUCUUAUUUAAUGUCACAUAUAAUUGCUUUCCAUUAUGAUUUACUAUGAAGAAAUGUUUAGCACCAUAUGAGUCCACAGGAAAAUAAAAUGAUCACACUUGGCAAAGUUCCUAGGUUAAUGACUAUGGAAUAAACUUCUGAACAUCUCACAUUUAUGUAAAC